rnacentral:tRNA from 1 species
UGGGGUGUAGCCAAGUGGUAAGGCAACGGGUUUUGAUCCCGUCAUGCGUAGGUUCGAAUCCUACCACCCCAGCCA